AUGACGGAGGCAGCGACAUUUCAAAUGCCUACUGCUCUUAGACGGUUGUUUGCGACUAUAUUGGUAUUCUGUGAGGCAACACAAAUCUGUCAGUUAUGGGACAAACAUCUACCACCCAUAUCUGAAGAUUAUCGCCGUACUCAAUCGAAUGAGGUAGCACUUGAGCAAAUGGUCCUUAGGGAUAUCAAGGAUCUCCUGCAAUCCAUGGGAAAGGAUAUUAAACUCUACGGACUUCCGGAUCUGUUUGACGCAGAUGGUUCUUCUAACUUUGACAAUACAGAGGUAACAGAGGAGAGACAUGUCAAAGUGGACCAAGAACAUCUAGAUCUAUUCAGCUAUUUGAACAAUGAGCAACUAGCUAGUUUCAAUGACAUAAUGGAUCAUGUGACAAACCAAAAAAAGCCAGAUAUUCUUUGUUGA
rnacentral:rRNA from 1 species